rnacentral:rRNA from 1 species
UGCCUUACACAUGCAAGUCGAACGGUAACAGGUCUUCGGAUGCUGACGAGUGGCGAACGGGUGAGUAAUACAUCGGAACGUGCCCGAUCGUGGGGGAUAACGCAGCGAAAGCUGUGCUAAUACCGCAUACGAUCUACGGAUGAAAGCGGGGGAUCGCAAGACCUCGCGCGGACGGAGCGGCCGAUGGCAGAUUAGGUAGUUGGUGGGAUAAAAGCUUACCAAGCCGACGAUCUGUAGCUGGUCUGAGAGGACGACCAGCCACACUGGGACUGAGACACGGCCCAGACUCCUACGGGAGGCAGCAGUGGGGAAUUUUGGACAAUGGGGGAAACCCUGAUCCAGCCAUGCCGCGUGCAGGAUGAAGGCCUUCGGGUUGUAAACUGCUUUUGUACGGAACGAAAAGGUCCUUUCUAAUAAAGAGGGCUCAUGACGGUACCGUAAGAAUAAGCACCGGCUAACUACGUGCCAGCAGCCGCGGUAAUACGUAGGGUGCGAGCGUUAAUUCGGAAUUACUGGGCGUAAAGCGUGCGCAGGCGGU